CUUUCGGGUUGUAAACCCCUUUCAGUUGGGACGAAGCUCCGUCGGUGAAUAGCCGGCUGGAGUGACGGUACCUUCACAAGAAGCACCGGCUAACUACGUGC
rnacentral:rRNA from 1 species